AGUUUCCAGACACAUCGCACUUCCGCUCGGGUCGAGGCUGCCACUCGGCCCUCAGACGGAUCAAAGAAGAGUGGGGAACCUCUCGCUGGUUUUUGGAAUUCGACAUCAGGAAGUGUUUUCACACCAUCGACCGACAUCGAUUCAUCUCAAUCUUGAAGGAAGAGAUCGACGAUUCCAAGUUCUUUUACCCCACUCAGAAAAAGUUUUCCGCCGGACGACUCGUAGGGGGUGAGAAGGGCCCUGACUCCAUCCCAAACAGUGUACUACUAUCGGCCCUACCAGGCAAUAUCUACCUACACAAGCUCGAUCAGGAGAUAGGGAGGAUCCGGCAGAAGCACGAAAUUCCUCUUGUAGUGAAAAUAAGAUCGGUUCUAUUAAGAAUAGGUCGUCGUAUUGAUGACCAAGAAAAGUAUGGAAAAGAAGCAAGCUUCAACGCUCCCCAAGAAAACAGA
rnacentral:rRNA from 1 species